CAAAAUAAUGACGAAUAGAGGAAUACGUCAUUUCUUCUCACUCCAAGCUGCUACCUUCUGCAACACCUCUGGCAAAAAUGGAAACAACACCCACAACCAGGACAGCAGCACCAGCAGUAAGAGGGAACAGUUGGCUAUGGUCUGGUGGACUUUUCAGUGCAGAUGUAUUAGCUGUAGAUGGAUUGGCUGAAUUAUCAACUCCAGAGGUCUCCUGGGGGGGAAGAUCUGAUUCCGUUGCUGAGCAACACCUCUAGAAACAUGGAGUAUUCAAAAAAAAAGUCCGUAGUUUAGCUGAAAGACAGGCUUAAACACUGUGAUGCGAUGGAAGUGUUGGAGGGACAGCACCGAUGAUUCACAUACCAGAUCUAUUUUACAGGGCCAUAACAUUUUGAAAGGAAGCCUACACAUGACUCAUUGAGAAAGAACAGCAGACUAACCAGAUCAACUCCUAUAGUCCAUGGCACAUCAGAACUCACUUGACCUCAGAUGACAGUAUUCAACAGGAAACUGAUUUUCCUACUCAAGUAGGAUGGCUAACAUGAA
rnacentral:lncRNA from 1 species